rnacentral:rRNA from 1 species
UUAAGCGACUAAGCGUACACGGUGGAUGCCCUGGCAGUCAGAGGCGAUGAAGGACGUGCUAAUCUGCGAAAAGCGUCGGUAAGGUGAUAUGAACCGUUAUAACCGGCGAUGUCCGAAUGGGGAAACCCAGUGCAAUUCGUUGCACUAUCGUUAACUGAAUACAUAGGUUAACGAGGCGAACCGGGGGAACUGAAACAUCUAAGUACCCCGAGGAAAAGAAAUCAACCGAGAUUCCCCCAGUAGCGGCGAGCGAACGGGGAGCAGCCCAGAGUCUGAAUCAGCUUGUGUGUUAGUGGAACGGUCUGGAAAGUCCGACGGUACAGGGUGAUAGUCCCGUACACCAAAAUGCACAGGCUGUGAACUCGAAGAGUAGGGCGGGACACGUGGUAUCCUGUCUGAAUAUGGGGGGACCAUCCUCCAAGGCUAAAUACUCCUGACUGACCGAUAGUGAACCAGUACCGUGAGGGAAAGGCGAAAAGAACCCCGGCGAGGGGAGUGAAAAAGAACCUGAAACCGUGUACGUACAAGCAGUGGGAGCACCUUCGGGUGUGACUGCGUACCUUUUGUAUAAUGGGUCAGCGACUUAUAUUCUGUAGCAAGGUUAACCGUAUAGGGGAGCCGCAGGGAAACCGAGUCUUAACUGGGCGUUAAGUUGCAGGGUAUAGACCCGAAACCCGGUGAUCUAGCCAUGGGCAGGUUGAAGGUUGGGUAACACUAACUGGAGGACCGAACCGACUAAUGUUGAAAAAUUAGCGGAUGACUUGUGGCUGGGGGUGAAAGGCCAAUCAAACCGGGAGAUAGCUGGUUCUCCCCGAAAGCUAUUUAGGUAGCGCCUCGUGAACUCAUCUUCGGGGGUAGAGCACUGUUUCGGCUAGGGGGUCAUCCCGACUUACCAACCCGAUGCAAACUACGAAUACCGAAGAAUGUUAUCACGGGAGACACACGGCGGGUGCUAACGUCCGUCGUGAAGAGGGAAACAACCCAGACCGCCAGCUAAGGUCCCAAAGUCAUGGUUAAGUGGGAAACGAUGUGGGAAGGCACAGACAGCCAGGAUGUUGGCUUAGAAGCAGCCAUCAUUUAAAGAAAGCGUAAUAGCUCACUGGUCGAGUCGGCCUGCGCGGAAGAUGUAACGGGGCUAAACCAUGCACCGAAGCUGCGGCAGCGACACUAUGUGUUGUUGGGUAGGGGAGCGUUCUGUAAGCCUGCGAAGGUGUGCUGUGAGGCAUGCUGGAGGUAUCAGAAGUGCGAAUGCUGACAUAAGUAACGAUAAAGCGGGUGAAAAGCCCGCUCGCCGGAAGACCAAGGGUUCCUGUCCAACGUUAAUCGGGGCAGGGUGAGUCGACCCCUAAGGCGAGGCCGAAAGGCGUAGUCGAUGGGAAACAGGUUAAUAUUCCUGUACUUGGUGUUACUGCGAAGGGGGGACGGAGAAGGCUAUGUUAGCCGGGCGACGGUUGUCCCGGUUUAAGCAUGUAGGCUGGUUGUCCAGGCAAAUCCGGAUAAUCAAGGCUGAGGUGUGAUGACGAGGCACUACGGUGCUGAAGUAACAAAUGCCCUGCUUCCAGGAAAAGCCUCUAAGCAUCAGGUAACAUCAAAUCGUACCCCAAACCGACACAGGUGGUCAGGUAGAGAAUACCAAGGCGCUUGAGAGAACUCGGGUGAAGGAACUAGGCAAAAUGGUGCCGUAACUUCGGGAGAAGGCACGCUGGUGUGUAGGUGAAGUCCCUGCGGAUGGAGCUGAGACCAGUCGAAGAUACCAGCUGGCUGCAACUGUUUAUUAAAAACACAGCACUGUGCAAACACGAAAGUGGACGUAUACGGUGUGACGCCUGCCCGGUGCCGGAAGGUUAAUUGAUGGGGUUAUCCGUAAGGAGAAGCUCUUGAUCGAAGCCCCGGUAAACGGCGGCCGUAACUAUAACGGUCCUAAGGUAGCGAAAUUCCUUGUCGGGUAAGUUCCGACCUGCACGAAUGGCGUAAUGAUGGCCAGGCUGUCUCCACCCGAGACUCAGUGAAAUUGAACUCGCUGUGAAGAUGCAGUGUACCCGCGGCAAGACGGAAAGACCCCGUGAACCUUUACUAUAGCUUGACACUGAACAUUGAGCCUUGAUGUGUAGGAUAGGUGGGAGGCUUUGAAGCGUGGACGCCAGUCUGCGUGGAGCCAACCUUGAAAUACCACCCUUUAAUGUUUGAUGUUCUAACGUUGGCCCCUUAUCGGGGUUGCGGACAGUGUCUGGUGGGUAGUUUGACUGGGGCGGUCUCCUCCCAAAGCGUAACGGAGGAGCACGAAGGUUAGCUAAUCCUGGUCGGACAUCAGGAGGUUAGUGCAAUGGCAUAAGCUAGCUUGACUGCGAGCGUGACGGCGCGAGCAGGUGCGAAAGCAGGUCAUAGUGAUCCGGUGGUUCUGAAUGGAAGGGCCAUCGCUCAACGGAUAAAAGGUACUCCGGGGAUAACAGGCUGAUACCGCCCAAGAGUUCAUAUCGACGGCGGUGUUUGGCACCUCGAUGUCGGCUCAUCACAUCCUGGGGCUGAAGUAGGUCCCAAGGGUAUGGCUGUUCGCCAUUUAAAGUGGUACGCGAGCUGGGUUUAGAACGUCGUGAGACAGUUCGGUCCCUAUCUGCCGUGGGCGCUGGAGAAUUGAGGGGGGCUGCUCCUAGUACGAGAGGACCGGAGUGGACGCAUCACUGGUGUUCGGGUUGUCAUGCCAAUGGCACUGCCCGGUAGCUAAAUGCGGAAGAGAUAAGUGCUGAAAGCAUCUAAGCACGAAACUUGCCCCGAGAUGAGUUCUCCCUGAGACUUUAAGUCUCCUGAAGGAACGUUAAAGACGAUGACGUUGAUAGGCCGGGUGUGUAAGCGCAGCGAUGCGUUGAGCUAACCGGUACUAAUGAACCGUGAGGCUUAACCUU